ensembl:lncRNA
GUCGCUGCUGCCGCCGGUCAGUGAGGCGCUGCUGAGCCCGAGAGAUGACGACAGGCUGUGUGAGGCCGACCCUGGAGCCUGAACAUGGACCGAUGACACAGGAAGGCAAACGCUGUAAGCACAGUACGUCUCUUUCACAUGAUAAUCAAAUGUUUACAUCUGAUCUCCGUCAGUUUACUGUAAAGAUCCUGUAGUUGUACACAAUGUGUCAGAAAACAGCUGGCUCUGCUAAUUGUAUUUUAAAACUUUGAUGUGAUUUAUUAUGUAGAGAGAGAAUGUAGAAUAGGAGAUGAUAACAAGAACUGUGCCAGUGGGCCUCCAGCAAAGUGCCUGUGACAGAGCCAGUGAUGAGGUGGCGUGACAGGAAAUCAGCUACGCUCAUCAACGGCCUCACAUGGGACACGUCUCCAAUCAGGAGUUCAGCAGCGCUGGUUGCCGGGUCAAACGCCCCCACACUGUCAAUGAGAAGUGGACGUAGUCAUCGGGGGACACCCAUUGGUUUGGGGAGCUGCCGUUUGGCGGUUUGCCCGAAGCCAUCUUGUGUUAAGCGUCUUAAUUUGGAUCGAUGUAGAAAGAGUGAAGGGAGCUUCUCUUGAAGUGCAUUCAGUGCACGUUGACCCUCCCUGAUGCCGUUAUGCUUGUACCCAGGUAUCGGAUCUCCCACUAUAUUUAAUGUCAAUCUGUUCUGCCGACAUCAGGGUGUUUUUUGAGAAAGCGGGACGAUGGCGGUCGUCAUAUUUACUGGUCGGGCCCCGUUCUCACAGAACUGCUCCGGCUGUCCUUGUAGUCGGGUCCUUUUCUCUCUCCACAGAUUUGAAUGCUGUUUGGAGUCUGUGUAAAUGAGCUAUGAACACAAUUAUUAGACAAGUGUGUAUUUAUUGUGUAAAAACCUGAACCCUGCACAGGAGCACAUACAUGUUAAAGAUCAGAAAAGGUUCAAAAGUCAGAGUAGGAAAUCAAACAGCAUCAGCUGCUCCAAACGGUUUCAACCAAAUGCAAGUGCAAUGUUCAUGGUGUGUUUUUGUCUUUGAUGGAGACGCGUGUGGUAGGUGGAAAUGUAACUGUGUGGCUGUGUGACAGAUGAGGCGGGCCUGAUGGACAGGAAGUCUGAGAUGCAGGACGAUAAAGGGGACAAGGAGUGCAAAGAGAAGCAGGCGGACCAGAAGAAACCUCGCAGGAAAGACACGCCCAUCCUCCACUGUCCUCCACAUAUACCAGGAGUGACGCUGCUGAAAGCACAGAAGCAGAUGGUCCACGUAGAGGACGAGGAGAAAGACGUGAAGGAAUAAAACUUUUAUUUCCCUUUUAUUCUGUCAAUGAAUUGUCACGGUUUGAGUUCAUGUGCAGUUUUAUUUUGUAGUUUCUUGUCUCCCUGGGUAACGUCACUUCCUGCCUUGUCCUGGCUGUCCCCCGUGAUUGACUGUCGUGUCAUGAUUGUUUCCAGCUGUUUCCAAUCACCUGCACCUCCCAAGUGUAUCUAGGUCAUGUGUGUUUGUUGUCACUGGUCGCGUCAUUGUUAGUUGUUCGUUAGCUCAUGUCCAUGUCACAGUUGUUGUGGUUUCUCGACUACGUUUUACCUUCUUGGAAUUUUUGAGUUUUGGAAUUUUUGACUAUUAAAGUCUGGAAAACUCUGCGUCUGAGUCCUACCUUCCCCAACGUACCGUCCAGACAGAAUGACGCGACCAGAAGAGGAGGCCAUCUCGUGGUCGUCCGGCGGCGGAUCGCACUGGGAGCGGGUGAUGGACCUCGCGGUCCGGCUCUAGGCCACCUACGCUCUCCACGCUCGGCCUCAGCGCACGACGUCCAGCGCUGGGCCGCAGCAGCUUCCCAACACGGCCUCCCGACCCAAGCCCAUGACCCCCCCCAGCCGACGCCCCGAUCCAGGCCCACGACUCUGGUACGGACCCCCGAUUCAAUCCCACGACUCCUGUACCGGCUCCCAGAUUCAAUCCCACGACUCCCGUUCCGGCCCCUCCACUAAAGCCCCCUCCCACCUGUCCCGUGGUCCCCUCCCCCCCAUGGCAGGGGUUGGACCGGCGUCCCAGUGCCCAGCCUCCGUGUCCUGCAGCCGGCGACUCCGGAGGCUUUAUGUGCCGCGCAGUCGGCAACGACUCCGGCUUCCCUCGCCGCGCAGCCGGCAACGACGGCUUCCCGUUCCAGUGUCCUGCAGUCGGCGCCCGGGAGCCAGACUCCUGACCGUCCUCCGGGCCGACCCCCGGAGCCCCCCCCGGCAGUCUGACCGCCCGCCGGGCCGCCCGCCAGGGUUCUCUGGUGUCCCUCCCGCCCCUUGUCUGUUCCUUGCCAGGUUAGGGCCAUCUGGAAUUUGGCCCUUGAGGGGGGAGUUCUGUCACGGUUUGGGUUCAUGUCCGGUUUUAUUUUGUAGUUUCUUGCCUCUUGUCUCCCUAGGUCACGUCACUUCCUGCCUCGUCCUGUCGCCAGUGAUUGUCUGUCGCGUCAUGAUUGUUUCCAGCAAUUUCCAAUCACCUACCCCUCCGUGGUAUUAACGCCAUGUGUGUCACGUCAUUGUUAAUUGUGCGGAAGCCCAUGUCCACGUCAUAGUUCCUGUCUCCUGUUCCUCAACUACGUUUUGCCUUUCUGGAAAUUUGAGUUUGGAUUUUUUGACUAUUAAAGUCCCUUUUUGUUUCUGGAAAA